rnacentral:rRNA from 1 species
AGAGUUUGAUCCUGGCUCAGGACGAACGCUGGCGGCGUGCCUAACACAUGCAAGUCGAACGGAGUGUUGCGCUGAAAUUGAGAUUAGCUUGCUAAAGGAAAUUUCUUGUAACACUUAGUGGCGGACGGGUGAGUAACGCGUGAGGAACCUGCCUUACAGAGGGGGACAACAGUUGGAAACGACUGCUAAUACCGCAUGAUGUGGAAGAAAGACAUCUUUCUUUCACCAAAGGAGCAAUCCGCUGUAAGAUGGCCUCGCGUCUGAUUAGAUAGUUGGUGGGGUAACGGCCUACCAAGUCGACGAUCAGUAGCCGGACUGAGAGGUUGAACGGCCACAUUGGGACUGAGACACGGCCCAGACUCCUACGGGAGGCAGCAGUGGGGGAUAUUGCACAAUGGAGGAAACUCUGAUGCAGCAACGCCGCGUGAGGGAAGAAGGUUUUCGGAUUGUAAACCUCUGUUUUUAGUGAAGAAACAAAUGACGGUAGCUAAAGAGGAAGCCACGGCUAACUACGUGCCAGCAGCCGCGGUAAUACGUAGGUGGCAAGCGUUGUCCGGAAUUACUGGGUGUAAAGGGUGCGCAGGCGGGAUUGCAAGUUGGAUGUGAAAUACCGGGGCUUAACCCCGGAGCUGCAUCCAAAACUGUAGUUCUUGAGUGGAGUAGAGGUAAGCGGAAUUCCGAGUGUAGCGGUGAAAUGCGUAGAUAUUCGGAGGAACACCAGUGGCGAAGGCGGCUUACUGGGCUCUAACUGACGCUGAGGCACGAAAGCAUGGGUAGCAAACAGGAUUAGAUACCCUGGUAGUCCAUGCUGUAAACGAUGAAUGCUAGGUGUGGGGGGACUGACCCCUUCCGUGCCGGAGU